UUAUCUCUAGAUUUGGCUCUGGAUUGCAGCAAUACCACCACGCCUGUGUUUAGAGUCCUCUGUAGCCAAAAGCACGUGCUUCUGUCGACCAAAACGCAUUUAGGAUAUUCCCCGAGUGCUUUGCCGAAUUGCUCUAAAACUAUACACAAAAUAAUGCUGCAACACCAGCCCUUCAUACAGCUCCAAACCUCGAAUCAACUCCAAAGCUCUGCAUUAUAAAAGAAGAGAAGGGCAGGAAGGGAAACUUAAAUAUUAUUGUCUUGGUAAGUGGGAAGGAAAAAAAAAAGAUUAUUUUGGCGGUUUUCCAUGGUCAGCUUCUCCGUUCCCCUCCCUCAUCUAAUUUCUGCAGUGGCAAUCUGUCCUUUUCCUAAAUGCUGAGCAAUCCCCGCAGUAAACUAAUCAAUAUUAAUAGCGAUAGGAUAGGAAUGGGGAGGGGGGAGGAAGAGAGGAGGGAUUAACAUGACCUUUUUAAACUCACACUGCCUCAGACGGUCACGAAGCAGCUGAGGAGAAAGCAGCCAGACGGACCCACCAUGUCCGACAAACCAGAUUUUGCAGAAAUUGAAACAUUUGACAAGACCAAACUGAAGAAGACGGAAACCAGAGAAAAAAAUCCAUUGCCCACUAAAGAAACUAUUGAACAGGAAAAGCAAAGUGAAAGUACUUCCUGAGCAUGAAAUUGAAGAUGUGAUGGCUGCUUCUUCAGUGGGGUUUUGGCUUCCAAGUUGGGGUUCCGCCCCUUUUCCUGACUCUGUGUUUGUUUUGCAUUGGUUCAACAAGGAAUUUUGUAUUUGUGUUUGUAUUCUCAAAACUGUAAUUCAAAGUUCUGUAUCAACCCGAUUACUUGCCCCCCACCCAAAAAAAAGCAAUUGGCAUACAAAAAUUGUUUUCCUAAACCUCACAAUAAACAGGUUUCUUCUGACCAGCUCUUUGCGACUUGCUGAAAUAGGGUUUACACGGUGA
rnacentral:lncRNA from 1 species